GGUGUGGCCACGGUUGGAUUGUAUGUCACUUCUGUUAUUUUUUAUUAUAAAAGGGCACAUUUAAAGAAUGAAACAGCUGUUACGGGAAAGAUAACAUAUUUGUCAACCAAAUACAACUUUAUUUUUAUUCAUUUGUCUAGUUCUAUGGGGUGCGCCAGGCUCUUGAAGUUGGACGUUCACACGCCAUCUUUGAAUGCUGCCCGUU
rnacentral:lncRNA from 1 species